rnacentral:rRNA from 1 species
CAGUCGCCGCGGGAAUACGAACCGUGCGAACGUUAUUCGGAAUCACUGGGCUUAAAGCGCGUGUAGGCGGGCCGCCGCGUCGGCUGCUGAAAUCCCCCGGCUCAACCGGGGAACGGGCACCAAUACGGGCGGCCUCGAGGGGGGUAGGGGGGCCUGGAACUUCCGGUGGAGCGGUGAAAUGCGUUGAGAUCGGAAGGAACGCCCGUGGCGAAAGCGAGGCCCUGGACCAUUUCUGACGCUGAGACGCGAAAGCCAGGGGAGCGAACGGGAUUAGAUACCCGCGUAGUCCCUGUCUCUUAUA